GAUGAACGCUGGCGGCGUGCCUAAUACAUGCAAGUCGAGCGAACAGAUGAGGAGCUUGCUCCUCUUACGUUAGCGGCGGACGUGUGAGUAACACGUGUAUAACCUACCUAUAAUACUGGGAUAACUUCGGGAAACCGGAGCUAAUACCGGAUAAUAUAUUGAACCGCAUGGUUCAAUAGUGAAAGACGGUUUUGCUGUCACUUAUAGAUUGAUCCGCGCCGCAUUAGCUAGUUGGUAAGGUAACGGCUUACCAAGGCAACGAUGCGUAGCCGACCUGAGAGGGUGAUCGGCCACACGGGAACUGAGACACGGUCCAGACUCCUACGGGAGGCAGCAGUAGGGAAUCUUCCGCAAUGGGCGAAAGCCUGACGGAGCAACGCCGCGUGAGUGAUGAAGGUCUUCGGAUCGUAAAACUCUGUUAUUAGGGAAGAACAAAUGUGUAAGUAACUAUGCACGUCUUGACGGUACCUAAUCAGAAAGCCACGGCUAACUACGUG
rnacentral:rRNA from 1 species